rnacentral:rRNA from 1 species
CUUGCUCCCAUUUCUCAGCGGCGGACGGGUGAGUAACACGUGGGCAACCUGCCCUACAGACUGGGAUAACUCCGGGAAACCGGAGCUAAUACCGGGUAAUACAUAGCAUCGCAUGAUGCAACGUUGAAAGUUGGCCUUUGGCUAACACUGUAGGAUGGGCCCGCGGCGCAUUAGCUAGUUGGUAAGGUAACGGCUUACCAAGGCCACGAUGCGUAGCCGACCUGAGAGGGUGAUCGGCCACACUGGGACUGAGACACGGCCCAGACUCCUACGGGAGGCAGCAGUAGGGAAUCUUCCGCAAUGGACGAAAGUCUGACGGAGCAACGCCGCGUGAGUGACGAAGGCCUUCGGGUCGUAAAGCUCUGUUGUUAGGGAAGAACAAGUACCGUUCGAAUAGGGCGGUACCUUGACGGUACCUAACCAGAAAGCCACGGCUAACUACGUGCCAGCAGCCGCGGUAAUACGUAGGUGGCAAGCGUUGUCCGGAAUUAUUGGGCGUAAAGCGCGCGCAGGCGGUCUCUUAAGUCUGAUGUGAAAGCCCACGGCUCAACCGUGGAGGGCCAUUGGAAACUGGGGGACUUGAGUGCAGAAGAGGAGAGUGGAAUUCCACGUGUAGCGGUGAAAUGCGUAGAUAUGUGGAGGAACACCAGUGGCGAAAGCGGCUCUCUGGUCUGUAACUGACGCUGAAGCGCC